GGGGAUGUAGCUCAGUUGGUUAGAGUGUCGGCCUGUCACGCCGGAGGUCGCGGGUUCGAGUCCCGUCAUCCUCGCCA
rnacentral:tRNA from 1 species